AAGAGGUACAGUGUUCUCUCCUGAGCCUGAAGCUGGCACUUGGUGUUUUCUCAGGGCGUCUGCCACUUGCCAUUGAUGAUGGUUCUUCUUCUCCUUUGUGGGAAGUGAGAGGGAGAGGACACAGUCUGA
rnacentral:snoRNA from 1 species